rnacentral:lncRNA from 1 species
UUGUGACUGUAACAGAUUUUCAAAUUUACAAGUCAGAGAAGAAGCUGGUGACAAGUCUGGUAUAAAAUCAUCCCUUGAUUCUGAGAAUGGAAAGCUGCACCGGACUGAGGCUGACAUCAGAUCCAUGCUCAGAACCUCACACAGGAAACUGGAACAGACUUCUGAUACUCUUCUGAACACUGAUGCCACUUUAAAGAGCAUUUCCAGAAUCCUUUUUGGAAGAAGGUGGAUGCAAAGAGCAGCUGAGGCUCUUAUUAGCUCUGAGGCCUCUCACAAGUCCUUCAGCUUCUUCAAGUCUCACCUGGAAACUGAAACAAGCUGGCUGAUUUCAUCCUGUCCAUCACAAAGGGUCCUAUGAAGGUCAAAUGGGAAAAUUGGUCUAAAAAUGCUGUGAAGAAAACAAAAUGUAAUAUUAUUUAUAACUUGCACUGGGAUUAUUAUAUCCAGAAAAAAAUUUAUUGUGCAUUUAAAGUUUUUUUUAAUAGUGUUAAGAAUUAUGGCCUUGUGAACAUAACCAAUAGAGAAAUAAUAGGAAAAGAAACUGCAGAGAUGGCCAAGAUUUAAAUAUAAAACAUGAAACUAUGAAACACUAGAAGAAAACUUAAGGAAAUGCUUCAGGAUAUUUGCUUUGCUAAAGAUUUUUUGGAUACAACCCCAAGUGCACAGGCAACAAAGCAAACACUAACAAAUAGGAUUGUAUUAAACUAAAGAGCUUCUGCACAACAAAGAAAACAACAGAGUGGACACAACCUACAAAAUUGAAGAAAAUAUUAAUAAACUGUACAUUUGAUAAGGGAUUAAUACCAAGAAUAUGUGAG